GGCCUGCCUUUCAUGGGGCUGCAGGGGGUUUCUUUUCCCCUCAGCCGUGACUGGAGGCCAAGAUCAACCCAUGAGGAUUAUUGUCAGGGCUGCCACAAGCUGGGCAGCUGUGUUUUCCUGCCUCAGACAUUU